rnacentral:lncRNA from 10 species
GACACUACAGUGAUACAUCUGUAAGCCAAGAAUAUCAAGAUGGCCAGCACGACCAGAGGUUCGGAUAAAGCGAGGCUCUGCCAACACCUGAAUUUAGAACUUCUCACCUCCAGAACUGUAAGAUUCCAGAACUGAGGCUUGAAAUAUGUGGUAAACAAAAUAGAGACAAAGAAAGAAGAAAAAAGGGUCAAAGAGAGAGGAGAAAAGAGUUGGAGAUGGGAGAGAUGAAGAGGAAGAAAAUGAGCAUGGUCUUGGAGACAAACCACCUGCAUGCUAAUUGUGGCAGGCAGUGUGGUUUAGUAGAAGAAGCUUGGCAGUGU